rnacentral:tRNA from 1 species
GGGAGUGUUGUCAAAUGGUUUGACAGACAGUCUAUUGAACUGUCGCUCUUAUAAGAGCUGAGAGUUCAAGUCUCUCCAUUUCCC